GACAGAGGCCCCAAGCGUUAGGCGGAAUCACUGGGCUUAAAGCGUGUGUAGGCGGACGCCUAAGUGUCUCGUGAAAUCCCACGGCUCACCCGUGGAACUGCUGGGCAUACUGGGCGUCUUGGGCCAACUAGGGGCAGCCGGAACAAGCGGUGGAGCGGUGAAAUGCGUAGAUAUCGCUUGGAACGCCGAAGGUGAAAACAGGCUGCUGGGGUUGCGCCGACGCUGAGACACGAAAGCCAGGGGAGCAAACGGG
rnacentral:rRNA from 1 species